rnacentral:SRP_RNA from 1 species
GCCAGGUGUGGUGGCACACACCUGUAAUCCCAGCUACUCGGGAGGCUGAGGCAGGAGAAUUGCUUGAACCCAGAAGGCAGAGGUUGCAGUGAGCCAAGAUAGUGCCACUGCACUCCAGCCUGGGUUACAGAGCAAGACUCUGUCUCUA